GAGGAAACCUGCGAAGAGAAUGUGGAUCCGGAUGUGAUCUCGGACGUCGAGGACGAAUGGGUCGAUUGUGACGAGACGGUGUUUGGAAGCCAGCUCGUCAAGAACCCGUUCGAAGAUCUCGAUGUCGAAGAGAUCAGUACAAGCCUUCCAAAUGCAAACUAUGUCAAGGCUUGCAUGGUUUACGCGACCGACGAGACCUUGAAGCUCGAGGAGGAUCGCAAUUAGAGCCGAUCACGUCCCCAAAGAUCGUCCUUGUUGAUUCUUCAGUCGGAG